AACAAAGAAGUAAAAUUUUACAUUUAGUUUCGACCUAAAUUUAGGAAUAAAUUUAUUUCCAUGUUU
rnacentral:tRNA from 1 species